AUAUCCUAUUGGGGGGUCACCAGGGAAAUUUUGAGCGUCAAAGACUUCAUUUCUUGCAUUCUGAUACACUGUAAUGAAUUUACUGUGAAAAUACCUUUAUUUAGCCUAUGCAAAGAUACAAAAAACACAGCUGAAAAUUCUAAAUGUGCCCAAAAUAUAAUGGAAAGCAUUUGGUUGCGUGUCAUUGAGCAUUUUUAAGUGGGCUUAUGGAAAUCCUGGAGCUUUCUUAGUUGGUAUACUGCGAAUAUCUGCGUAUCACGUAGAGUACACCACUGGUUGAAUGUGAGACAGGAAGUGUGCAGAAGGAGUC